rnacentral:rRNA from 1 species
CCUACGGGGGGCAGCAGUGAGGAAUAUUGGUCAAUGGCCGUAAGGCUGAACCAGCCAAGUCGCGUGAAGGAAGAAGGAUCUAUGGUUUGUAAACUUCUUUUAUAGGGGAAUAAAGGUAUCCACGUGUGGAUAUUUGCAUGUACCCUAUGAAUAAGCAUCGGCUAACUCCGUGCCAGCAGCCGCGGUCAUACGGAGGAUGCGAGCGUUAUCCGGAUUUAUUGGGUUUAAAGGGAGCGGAGGUUGUUGUUUAAGUCAGCGGGGAAAGUUUGUGGCUCAACCAUAAAAUUGCCGUUGAAACUGGAAGACUUGAGUGUGUUUGAGGUAGGCGGAAUGCGUGGUGUAGCGGUGAAAUGCAUAGAUAUCACGCAGAACUCCGAUUGCGAAGGCAGCUUACUAAGCCAUAACUGACACUGAAGCACGAAAGCGUGGGGAUCAAACAGGAUUAGAUACCCCAGUAGUC